ACUCCUACGGGAGGCAGCAGUGGGGAAUCUUGCACAAUGGGCGAAAGCCUGAUGCAGCCAUGCCGCGUGUGUGAAGAAGGCCUUCGGGUUGUAAAGCAGUUUCAGUAGGGAGGAAAGGGUGUUACUUAAUACGUAAUAUCUGUGACGUUACCUACAGAAGAAGGACCGGCAAACUCCGUGCCAGCAGCCGCGCUAAUA
rnacentral:rRNA from 1 species